GGGCCAGUGGCGCAACGGCAGACGCAACAAGCUCAAACCUUGUUAGUUGCAGGUUCAAAUCCUGUCUGACCCACCA
rnacentral:tRNA from 1 species